GAACGCACAUUGCGCCCCUUGGUAUUCCGAGGGGCAUGCCUAUUCGAGCGUCAUUAUCACCCCUCAAGCUCAGCUUGGUGUUGAGGCCUGCUGUAAGGGCAGCCUCUAAAAUCAGUGGCAGUGCUGUCAGGCUCUAAGCGUAGUAAUUUCAUCGCUAUAGACACCUGGUGGACACUCGCCAGAACCCCCCCAUUUUUUAAUGAUUGACCUCGGAUUAGGUAGGGAUACCCGCUGAACUUAAG
rnacentral:misc_RNA from 1 species